GUGUAUGUUUGCACCAUUUAUAGAAGCUGUACAGAAAAUGCUGGAUCAAGCAGAGAGUCAGCUGGAAAAUGGUGGUCCUUGGAAAAACCCUGAUGCCCCAAAGGAUUUUGGAACUGAAAAGGACAAGGCAAACUGCCCCUUCUUUCUUAAAACGGGUGCUUGUAGGUUUGGAGACCGGUGCUCCCGAAAGCAUGAGCACCUAACAUCCAGCACCACUCUGAUGGUGAGGGGAUGUUUGUGACAUUGGGAUGGAGCAGAGCAGACGGGAUGACUACGACACUGAUGCCAGUCUGGAGUACAGCGAGGAGGAAAUGCACCAGCAGUUCCUGGAUUUCUAUGAAGAUG